UGACGGAGCAACGCCGCGUGAGUGAUGAAGGUUUUCGGNUCGUAAAACUCUGUUGUUAGGGAAGAACAAGUNCCGUUNGAAUAGGGCGGNNCCUUGACGGUACCUAACCAGAAAGCCACGGCUAACUACGUGCCAGCAGCCGCGGUAAUACGUAGGUGGCAAGCGUUGUCCGGAAUUAUUGGGCGUAAAGCGCGCGCAGGCGGUUUNUUAAGUNUGAUGUGAAAGCCCCCGGCUCAACCGGGGAGGGUCAUUGGAAACUGGGGAACUUGAGUGCAGAAGAGGAGAGUGGAAUUCCACGUGUAGCGGUGAAAUGCGUAGAGAUGUGGAGGAACNCCAGUGGCGAAGGCGACUNUNUG
rnacentral:rRNA from 1 species